UAACUCUUAGCGGUGGAUCACUUGGCUCGUGGAUCGAUGAAGAACGCAGCUAACUGCGAUAAAUAGUGCGAAUUGCAGACGCAUUGAG
rnacentral:rRNA from 1 species